UACGUAGGGUGCGAGCGUUGUCCGGAAUUAUUGGGCGUAAAGAGCUUGUAGGCGGUUUGUCGCGUCUGCUGUGAAAAUCCGGGGCUCAACCCCGGACUUGCAGUGGGUACGGGGCAGACUAGAGUGUGGUAGGGGGAGACUGGAAUUCCUGGUGUAGCGGUGAAAUGCGCAGAUAUCAGGAGGAACACCGAUGGCGAAGGCAGGUCUCUGGGCCGAUACUGACGCUGAGGAAGCGAAAGCUGGGGAGCAAACAGGAUUAGAACCGUCGGAGU
rnacentral:rRNA from 1 species